AGUGAACGCUGGCGGUAGGCCUAACACAUGCAAGUCGAACGGCAGCACAGGAGAGCUUGCUCUCUGGGUGGCGAGUGGCGGACGGGUGAGGAAUACAUCGGAAUCUGCCCAGUCGUGGGGGAUAACGUAGGGAAACUUACGCUAAUACCGCAUACGACCUUCGGGUGAAAGAGGGGGAUCGCAAGACCUCUCGCGAUUGGAUGAGCCGAUGUCGGAUUAGCUAGUUGGCGGGGUAAUGGCCCACCAAGGCGACGAUCCGUAGCUGGUCUGAGAGGAUGAUCAGCCACACUGGAACUGAGACACGGUCCAGACUCCUACGGGAGGCAGCAGUGGGGAAUAUUGGACAAUGGGCGCAAGCCUGAUCCAGCCAUACCGCGUGGGUGAAGAAGGCCUUCGGGUUGUAAAACCCUUUUGUUGGGAAAGAAAUCUUUCAGGCUAAUACCCUGGGAGGAUGACGGUACCCAAAGAAUAAGCACCGGCUAACUUCGUG
rnacentral:rRNA from 1 species